AGCAGCCCGCGGUAAUUCCAGCUCCAAUAGCGUAUAUUAAAGUUGCUGCAGUUAAAAAGCUCGUAGUUGAAUUUCGGGACCAUCAUGUCGGUCGUGCCUCGGUACGUACUGGCAUUGUUGGUUUCUACCUUCUGACGAACCAUGAUGUCAUUUAUUUGGUGUCGUGGGAAAUCAGGACUGUUACUUUGAAAAAAUUAGAGUGUUUAAAGCAGGCUCACGCUUGAAUACAUUAGCAUGGAAUAAUGAAAUAGGACGUUUGAUUCUAUUUUGUUGGUUUCUAGGAUCGACGUAAUGAUUAAUAGGGAUAGUUGGGGGCAUUAGUAUUCAAUUGUCAGAGGUGAAAUUCUUGGAUUUAUUGAAGACUAACUACUGCGAAAGCAUUUGCCAAGGAUGUUUUCAUUAAUCAAGAACGAAAGUUAGGGGAUCGAAGACGAUCAGAUACCGUCGUAGUCUUAACCAUAAACUAUGCCGACUAGGGAUCGGAUGAUGUUAAUUUUUUAAUGACUCA
rnacentral:rRNA from 1 species